UGGGGAAUAUUGGACAAUGGGCGCAAGCCUGAUCCAGCCAUGCCGCGUGAGCGAUGAAGGCCUUAGGGUUGUAAAGCUCUUUCACCGGCGACGAUGAUGACGGUAGCCGGAGAAGAAGCCCCGGCUAACUCCGUGCCAGCAGCCGCGGUAAUACGGAGGGGGCAAGCGUUGUUCGGAAUUACUGGGCGUAAAGGGCGCGUAGGCGGUUUGUCACGUCAGAUGUGAAAGCCCCGGGCUCAACCUGGGAGGUGCAUUUGAUACGGGCAGGCUUGAACCCGGCAGAGGGUGGUGGAAUUCCCAGUGUAGAGGUGAAAUUCGUAGAUAUUGGGAAGAACACCGAUGGCGAAGGCAGCCACCUGGGCCGGUGUUGACGCUGAGGCGCGAAAGCGUGGGGAGCAAACAGGAUUAGAUACCCCCGUAGUCC
rnacentral:rRNA from 1 species